rnacentral:rRNA from 1 species
CCUACGGGUGGCUGCAGUGGGGAAUAUUGGACAAUGGGGGCAACCCUGAUCCAGCCAUGCCGCGUGUGUGAAGAAGGCCCUCGGGUUGUAAAGCACUUUCAGUGAGGAAGAACGCCUGGUGGUUAAUACCCAUCAGGAAAGACAUCACUCACAGAAGAAGCACCGGCUAACUCCGUGCCAGCAGCCGCGGUAAUACGGAGGGUCGAGCGUUAAUCGGAAUUACUGGGCGUAAAGCGCGCGUAGGUGGCUUGAUAAGCCGGUUGUGAAAGCCCCGGGCUCAACCUGGGAACGGCAUCCGGAACUGUCAAGCUAGAGUGCAGGAGAGGAAGGUAGAAUUCCCGGUGUAGCGGUGAAAUGCGUAGAGAUCGGGAGGAAUACCAGUGGCGAAGGCGGCCUUCUGGACUGACACUGACACUGAGGUGCGAAAGCGUGGGUAGCAAACAGGAUUAGAUACCCUAGUAGUC